AAGAAAAAAAAAAAAAAUACGGAAAUAAAGAUUAAGAAUCAAAGCUUCUGGCUUUAUUGAUUAAUGCCUUUAAAAAGUGUUAAGGGAUGGCUGUUUGUUCAGCUCUCCUACGUGAGAAAGAAAAAAAAAGAAAAGAAAAAAAAAGAGGCACCCGACGAGGAGGACCUGGGUGAGACCAGAUGUCAGCAGCAGCCGUACCACUUUCGCUCGGCUCUUGUAAUUUGAAGUUUACCCUGCGCUGCCGAGAGCUGUAACCGCACUUGGAAAAACAAACAUUUUAUCUCGUUUUCACGAGGGUCAGAGGUUGGAGAGAGUGCAGCCUGGGAGGAAAAACAUGGCAGCGGAGGAGAGAGAGGCUUACACAAAAACGCAUCACUGUGGGUAUGGGGAUAAUUACAGAACGGGGUGCGGAGUUACUCGGUUGUAGCAGCGUGUCUGAAUAUACAGUAAUGAAGGAGAAAAGAACAGAGCUUGAUUGGAAUCUAGGUGGGUACAAAAAAAAAAAAAAAAAACAUGGGUGUGCUAAACUUUUUUCAUUACAGACUCAACUGGGAUUUCAUCAUAUGAGACAGACUGACUGACUAUGUUUACGUUUACAGCAUUACAGAGCUGUACUGUCGCCUCCCAUUUAUGUAUAUAUAUAUAUAUGUAUGUAGUACUGAUAAGCAACAAGAAUUUUCCGUACAGUAAGUUGUGUGAAAACAGCCUGCCUAUACAAUGUCGGAAACUUAUUUAAUCGCUUGUCUAACAUCGAAAGUAAGUAUCAUCGCUGGCUGUGAUGUGAGAAUCUAGUAAUUACAGGAAAAUAUCUUCCUCUGCACCUUCUUUCACUGCUAACAAAAACACAUCUACUGGGCAAUUGAGUGCAACUGUAUAAAACUGCGCUAAAUUGCUUUCCCAGGAUGCCGAGCGUAUGAUAAAGACAGCUGUCAGUUCCUGUGCCAUAGUGCCUCUAUGCUCUAUGUGAUUACCAACCCACACGUACCCCAACAUCCUGCCAUUCACACAUGGGAAAGAGAGAGAGAGAGAGAGACAGACAGGGAGAGAGAGAGAGAGAGAGAGACAGACAGGGAGAGAGAGAGAGAGAUGGGGGGUGGGAGAGGAGAGACAGAGGGAGAGAGACAGAGAGAGACAGAGAGAGAUGGGGGGUGGGAGUGGAGAGACAGAGGGAAAGAGAGUGAGCGAGCGAGUGAGAGAGAGAGAGAGAUGGGGUGGGAGUGGAGAAACAGAGGGAAAGAGAGAGAAAGACAGACAGAGAGAUAGAUGGGGGUGGGAUUGGAGAGACAGAGGGAGACAGAGAGAGACAGACAGAGAGAGAGAGAGAUGGGGAGAGAGAGAUGGGGGGUGGGAGUGGAGAGACAGAGGGAAAGAGAGAUAGAGAGAGACAGAGAGAGAGUGAGAGAGAGAGAUGGGGGUGGGAGUGGAGAGACAGAGGGAAAGAGAGAUAGAGAGAGACAGAGAGAGAGAGUGAGAGAGAGAGAGAGAGAGAGAGAGAGAGAAAGAGAGAAAGGACAGAUUCCAGUGUCUUUGUGUCAAAGAUUAGGAGUGAUUAGGAGUGAGCUGGAAUGAGAGAGCUCUCUGUUUGCACUGUGAUCGUACAUUAUCUCUGCUACAACAACACAUCACAUUCCUCACUAGCACACACACCGGUACACACACCGGUACACACACACACACAGAUACAGACAGCGCUGCAGCCUUGAUGAGAACAAAAGUCAAACCAAAAAAAGAAAUGAACUAAACCAUUUAUUCCAAUUACACACACUUUUACAGACGAAUACUGCCAGUAAAUGCCAUUAAACUCCAGCCGCAAAAUCACUGUGUCUCGAUAUCACACCAUGACACACUGACACAUUCGAACACGUACAGGACGUUUGUCAUUAAUAGCCGCGCUGAAGUCGUUCACGAGUUCCAGGAAAUUCAAGGUGUAGUGAUUGUGGCUGGGAGGGUCCCCGCGCGGCUCAAAGUUCACACUUAGGCAGGACACUCAUCUGUAAACGGUCCAAUAAUAGUGCAGAGGGGAUUUUCAUUUUAGAGUCUCACGAGUGAUCA
ensembl:lncRNA